UGAUCCGCCCGCCUCGGCCUUCCAAAUUGCUGGAAUUACAGGUGUGAGCCACCGCGGCCGGCCAGUGUUCAUUCUUUCUUUCCUAUCUUCCUAGAAUCAUCUUGCUGGUUCCCUCAGUACGAUAAAUAAAUCUUUGACACAUGCUCACUGAGAGUCAUGUUUUUAACCGUUUUGAAAUUAUAUUUGGCAGUCUGAAGGGAACCUGUUCUCCGGGCUAGGGGACAAACAGGGAAAAAGAAAAGAGUGACACAUACCCAGGAAAGGAAGGAGGAAGGGAGGGUGAUGUAAGACAAAGACAUUAGGCGGCGAGAAAGUCAGCCUUUGGUCCUAAACAGCUUCUGGCGCCUCUUCCUGGACUCUGCACGGUGCAGCCUCGUUGCCAAACUACGUUUUCCGGCAGGCCCCGGGGCGCCGAGCGGAGAGCGUCGCAAGGGGCGGGCCUGACGCAGCCUCCUCGGCGCCAGGCAACCUUCCCCCUUCGCGGCCAAGACCGAGCCUGGGCUCGGCCUCCUCCGGGAAACUGCGCUGAACUGCGCUGUGAGGCGGGGCGAUGGAGAAGGGCCGAAGCCCCCCCAGGCCCAGCUAAAGCAGACGGCUCGCACUGCGACCCGAAGCCUUCCAGCAACCAGCUCCCAGUAGCCCUCUGGUAAUUGAUGGCAUCUGGCCAGGGCUGCUCCAUGGUGUUGCCUGAAGGCCAGGGGGUCAACAGAGCUGGCUGCCUUGCCUGGAAGGGAGAAAGACUCUCUCCUAUCCUUCUCUGGUCAAGAGUUCCAGAACUUUAUGUGUGGUGCCGUUAGCAGUGGCUGCUCAUCUAGGGCAAAUCCACACUCGUUUUGAGUGACUUAGACCUUCUCACUCUAAAUUCUCCUGUGAAGAGCUGGCCGUCCUGCUCCAGAUGUUUUAAUCCAGGUGAUCCCAAACAGCACCGGAACGUCUUUCGUUUCCACCUAACGAGAAACACCCACAAGUGUGGAGGGGCAGGC